UGGUGAGCCCUGGGGCGCGGCUGACAGCUGCUGCGACUGCCCAUGUGCGUGCUGCCCCUUCACAACAACAAUUGCACGCCGUCGCAGCCUCCACCGCCGCUUCCUCGCUCCUCGCACCAACUGCCUGCUUCCUUGACUGCUCGUAUGCGCAGCCAGGCUCGCCCCCAUCGCCUCCUGCCUGCUUGUCACAUGCGCAGGUCUGUGAGCACGCGGCCUCCAGUGCUGCCUCCACUGCUGCCGCCGCCCCCUCACAUGCGCAGGUCGGUGAGCACGCGGCCUCCAGUGCAGCCUCCACUGCUGCCGCCCUCCCUUCACAUGCGCAGGUCUGUGAGCACGCGGCCUCCAGUGCUGCCUCCACUGCUGCCGCCGCCCCCUCACAUGCGCAGGUCGGUGAGCACGCGGCCUCCAGUGCAGCCUCCACUGCUGCCGCCCUCCCUUCACAUGCGCAGGUCUGUGAGCACGCGGCCUCCAGUGCUGCCUCCACUGCUGCCGCCGCCCCCUCACAUGCGCAAAUCGGUGAGCACGCCGCCUCCAGUGCUGCCUCCACUGCUGCCAACACCCCCCCUCACAUGCGCAGGUCUGUGAGCACGCGGCCUCCAGUGCUGCCUCCACUGCUGCCAACACCCCCCCUCACAUGCGCAGGUCAGUGAGCACGCGCCCCACCACGUCCAUGAACAGAAACAGCUCGCCGUCCACACGCUGUGAAGGGGUGGGUGCGGGGGGUGGGAAAGGGUGGGAAAGGGAGGGGUGGGGUGGGAAAGGGACGGGGGCAGAGCGAGAGGACGAAGCGUGCCGUGGGCAGGCAGGCAGGCAGGCAGGCGGCGGCACACAGGCAGGCAGGCAGGCCCCAGGUAGGCGGUUGGCCGGUCACAGCCACAACGGGCCAGUCACAGCCACAACGGGCCGGCCGAGCAGAUGCAGUGCGCUCUCAGGGCUGCCUCUCAACACACGGCAUUUCUCCCUCACACAAACGCGAACACACGAACCCAGAUAAACACACAAGCG
rnacentral:lncRNA from 1 species